AACGAACGCUGGCGGCAGGCUUAACACAUGCAAGUCGAGCGCCCCGCAAGGGGAGCGGCAGACGGGUGAGUAACACGUGGGAAUCUACCCAUCCCUACGGAACAACUCCGGGAAACUGGAGCUAAUACCGUAUACGCCCUUUGGGGGAAAGAUUUAUCGGGGAUGGAUGAGCCCGCGUCGGAUUAGCUAGUUGGUGGGGUAAAGGCCUACCAAGGCGACGAUCCGUAGCUGGUCUGAGAGGAUGAUCGGCCACACUGGGACUGAGACACGGCCCAGACUCCUACGGGAGGCAGCAGUGGGGAAUAUUGGACAAUGGGCGCAAGCCUGAUCCAGCCAUGCCGCGUGAGUGAUGAAGGCCUUAGGGUUGUAAAGCUCUUUCGCCAGGGACGAUAAUGACGGUACCUGGAUAAGAAGCCCCGGCUAACUUCGUGCCAGCAGCCGCCGCAGUAA
rnacentral:rRNA from 1 species